AUACUAUAUAUUACAGUUUGUGUUUUUUUUUCAGCAAAAAGAAAUAACAAUUCAUUGUAAUUAAUUAAUUUAAAUUUUUGAUUUUAAGUGAAGUGACAGAUUUGUAAAUAAGAAAGAAAUGCAAUGGCUAAAUGUGUAAAUAAAACAAAAUAUUUAAUCUACUAUCUGUGUUUCCUAACAAUUCUCAUUUAAUCUGCUAUCCAAGUUUCCAAACGACAGAAUCUGUAAAUGAGAAAUAAAUACAGUGACUAUAUGUAAAUAAAAUAAUUUGCUAUCAUUGUUUCCAAACAACUUUCAUUUAAUCUACUAUCUAAGUUUCCAAACAGUACCAAAAGGUACUUCAGUUUUAAUUAUUCUGUUGCCAUCAAGUUUUUUUUUGUAAACUUUUAUAGAUGAAACUGACUUUGAGCUUUUAACAUUUUCUGAUCUUGCUGAUUACUCAAUAUCUAGUCUUUCCUCUGAUAGCAUCGUUACCCUUUUCAUAUUUCUCAAAUGCAAUGGGGGUUGGAUAUAUCGUAGAAUUGAGUCCAGUGCUAAAUUUUGAAUUUUUUUACUAGAGUGAACAUAAGUAUGGAUCCUUUAGAGGAAAGGAUGAUGCCUUCGGGCAUGCACACAGUUGCAAAUAUAUUCUGCUGUUGCUGCGGACAGAAUGUUGGCUGGAAAUAUGCAAGUCUCGCUUUAGCCGCACUUCCAUUCUUCUUGGGAGCGGUUUCUCGUUUUUCUCUUUGUUUCUUUGUUUGUUUGUUAGGAAUCAGCGCAUGAGAAAGAUCAGAAAUAUAAAGAAGGCAAAUUUGUACUAGAAAGAUUGAAGAUGCAUGAGGAGAGUUCAUCAAGGUGUAAAACUGAUGAGGAUGUUCAGGAAGGAGUUGUUCCUGCUUAUCUUCUUGAUCGUGAGAAUACCUCUCGGGCUGAGGUUUGUUUUUUGUUUCAGAGUUGAUUUAGGAUCUUAGCAACACUAUUAAACAAAAGAGGAAAAGUAUGUGUUUAGUUUGA